rnacentral:rRNA from 1 species
AUUGAACGCUGGCGGCAGGCCUAACACAUGCAAGUCGAGCGGCAGCGGGAAAGUAGCUUGCUACUUUUGCCGGCGAGCGGCGGACGGGUGAGUAAUGCCUGGGAAAUUGCCCAGUCGAGGGGGAUAACAGUUGGAAACGACUGCUAAUACCGCAUACGCCCUACGGGGGAAAGCAGGGGACCUUCGGGCCUUGCGCGAUUGGAUAUGCCCAGGUGGGAUUAGCUAGUUGGUGAGGUAAGGGCUCACCAAGGCGACGAUCCCUAGCUGGUCUGAGAGGAGGAUCAGCCACACUGGAACUGAGACACGGUCCAGACUCCUACGGGAGGCAGCAGUGGGGAAUGUUGCACAAUGGGGGAAACCCUGAUGCAGCCAUGCCGCGUGUGUGAAGAAGGCCUUCGGGUUGUAAAGCACUUUCAGCGAGGAGGAAAGGUUGAUGCCUAAUACGUAUCAACUGUGACGUUACUCGCAGAAGAAGCACCGGCUAACUCCGUGCCAGCCGCCGCAGUAAAAC